rnacentral:sRNA from 1 species
AUCUCAAUGAGGAAGAAUGCCCAAAGUGAUAGGAAGUGCCGUAUGACACUUUAUACAGCGGCGGCCACACGCUAACGGAGCCCGCCUCGUUCUCAUCCCCCAAUGAUUGGUUCGUUGGCCGGGAACAGGCGUGCGGCUCCGGUGUGCCGCCGCCGUGUGUGAUUUGGAACGGGAUUCUGAGGGUCUUGAGUUUUUCCGAUUACUGCAAUUAUUAUUCAGUUUUAAUUAUUUUUUAUUUAUUUUGUGUGAUUAUUUUGAAAGGUUCGAUGCCACGACGACGGUAGCUAAAAUGGCCUUGACCGACGUUGCUAUGAUUGAACCGAGAGCGAGGAUCUUCUGUUUCGCAUUCUGAUAGGAACCUGUGGAUCCUAAUCUUUUACCGGUCCACGGAGCCGAUUUACUGCGAUUACAUUUUUUAUUUUCUUGAAUUUUUAUUUGGUUUUGAUUAAAAAAAAAUAUUAUGUUAUUUUAGAAAAUAAUUUGUUGAGCCUAUGAGGAUUGUUAUUUUAGUUGGAAUUACCGACUGAAUUUUAUUGAUGUCAAAUAACUGGCUUUCUGAGGCUUAAAAGUUUUUAAUUAAAUGGUUGAUAAUUUAUUUAAGAAAUAUAAGAGUAUUUGAUUGGUCAGUGAUGAUAAAUCCGAAGGCUUGUUUCUCAAGAACAUUCGCAGUGGCCGCCUAAGAGCUUUCGCCUUUCGCCGGGCUCGAGAGCUUGUGCUGUUUUUAUCCUUCCUUGGAUGUCUGAGAUC